rnacentral:lncRNA from 1 species
GAGAAAAUCUCACGACAAGUUUAACUAUUCUUCACCUGGAAAAACAGAACUUGUAAGACACUAAGAUGUAAGAUGUUUGUCUUUAGCUUAAGAGUUACCUAUUGUAUUUUUAUUUACUGAGAUAAAUGUAUCUUGUGUAAGUUUGUAACGUAAGAAAAAAAUAUCUUUAGCUUAAGAGUUACCUAUUGUAUUUUUAUUUACUGAGAUAAAUGUAUCUUGUGUAAGUUUGUAACGUAAGAAAAAAAUAUCUUUAGCUUAAGAGUUACCUAUUGUAUUUUUAUUUACUGAGAUAAAUGUAUCUUGUGUAAGUUUGUAACGUAAGAAAAAAAUAAUGUAUACAAGUCAGAAUCUUGACUGUACAAUUCAAUUCAGUAAAACAAAAG